UCUCCGUUGGUGAACCAGCGGAGGGAUCAUUACCGAGUGCAAACUCAUAACCCUUUGUGAACCUAUCUCUGUUGCUUCUGCGGCUCGCUUCCGGGCGAGCCCGCCGGUAAUAUCAGUAUCUCUGUUUGAACCCGACGAUACUUCUGAGUGAUCUUAGCGAACAGUUAAAACUUUUAACAACGGAUCUCUUGGCUCUG
rnacentral:misc_RNA from 1 species